CAAGUUCUUCCUCAGUAAAUUCAGAAAUACAAAAAUACUCUCAGAGGUAUUUUGCCCAAAUGAGAAAAAUCCACAUUUCUUCAAAGAAACGUCAGAGUCUGAG